AAGGAGCGAAGCGAUUCACCUCCUCCCGAACCGCUUCGGUUCGGCGGACGGCAUUCCUCCUCCCCAGCUUUCCGUCAUUUAUUGAAGCCCGGCGCACCUCCUCCCGCGCCGGGUUUUUUUG
rnacentral:sRNA from 1 species